rnacentral:rRNA from 1 species
UACGGAGGGAGCUAGCGUUGUUCGGAAUUACUGGGCGUAAAGCGCACGUAGGCGGGUUGUUAAGUCAGGGGUGAAAUCCCGGAGCUCAACUCCGGAACUGCCUUUGAUACUGGCAAUCUAGAGACUGGAAGAGGUUAGUGGAAUUCCCAGUGUAGAGGUGAAAUUCGUAGAUAUUGGGAAGAACACCAGUGGCGAAGGCGGCUAACUGGUCCAGUACUGACGCUGAGGUGCGAAAGCGUGGGGAGCAAAC